GUCGCCCAAAAAAACAGCCUCCACGUGGCGGGUGACGGACAACGAGUUUUCUCGGCUAAUGUUUUG
rnacentral:ribozyme from 1 species